rnacentral:rRNA from 1 species
AAUCAACGCUGGCGGCGUGCCUCAGACAUGCAAGUUGAACGAUUAAAGCUCUCUUCGGAGAGUGCAUAAAGUGGCGCACGGGUGAGUAACACGUAAGUAAUCUACCCUCGAGUGGGGAAUAACGUCCGGAAACGGACGCUAAUACCGCAUAACGCAGCGGCACCGCAAGGUGACAGUUGUUAAAGGAGAAAUUCGCUUGAGGAGGAGCUUGCGGCAGAUUAGCUGUUGGUAAGGUAACGGCUUACCAAGGCUACGAUCUGUAACCGGUCUAAGAGGACGGUCGGUCACACUGACACUGAAUAACGGGUCAGACUCCUACGGGAGGCAGCAGUCGGGAAUUUCGGGCAAUGGGGGAAACCCUGACCCAGCAACGCCGCGUGAAGGAUGAAGUAUUUCGGUAUAGUAAACUUACGAAAGAAUAGGAAGAAUAAAUGACGGUACUAUUUAUAAGGUCCGGCUAACUACGUG